rnacentral:rRNA from 1 species
UACGUAGGGCGCAAGCGUUGUCCGGAAUUACUGGGCGUAAAGGGCUCGUAGGCGGCCAACUAAGUCAGACGUGAAAUCCCUCGGCUUAACCGGGGAACUGCGUCUGAUACUGGAUGGCUGGAGUUUGGGAGAGGGAUGCGGAAUUCCAGGUGUAGCGGUGAAAUGCGUAGAUAUCAGGAGGAACACCGGUGGCGAAGGCGCACAUCUGGCCCGAUACUGACGCUGAGGCGCGAAAGCUAGGGGAGCAAACGGG